UACGUAGGGUCCAAGCGUUAUCCGGAAUCACUGGGCGUAAAGCGUGCGUAGGCGGCGUGUUAAGUGUGAUGUUAAAUCGUGGGGCUCAACCCUAUCGGUGCAUUGCAUACUGGUAUGCUAGAGGAAGGCAGAGGCAAGUGGAAUUUGUAGUGUAGCAGUGAAAUGCGUAGAUAUUACAAGGAACACCAAUGGCGAAGGCAGCUUGCUGGGCCUUUUCUGACGCUGAGGUACGAAAGCGUGGGGAGCGAACAGG
rnacentral:rRNA from 1 species